rnacentral:lncRNA from 1 species
GUAAGGAUUCAAAACAGAAACAGAUGCAAGGAAAGAACAUACAUAGUUAACAUUAACCACUAAUCACGAACAGCAGAGUAACAGGAUUGCAGAAAACUGUAAAUAAACACAUAGGUGUGAGGCAGGAAAGUUAAAUUAGAAUAUAUCAAUUUCAGAAAAACAAACAAGUAAAACAAUAGUCUUGAAAAGCCAAGUUGCAAGCAAACAGUUCCAAAAAAUCUCAGAAAGAACAGAAUGUUGUGAGAGCAUCGAACUCAAAGUAGUAUUGUAAGUGUGUAGUAAGUUGAAAGUAUUGAACUAAAGGUUUGAGGUAUUGAACUUGAAGUCCUCCCAAAAGUGCAGAAGUGUAGUCCCUUAUAUAGUGCAGAAAACAAGUAAGAAGGGUAAGGGAAUAACAUUGAAAUCAAUCUCCAUUUAAUUAAGGGAUUCUAAUUUCCAACAGGUAAAAGACAAUUAAAUAAAGAGUUAACCAAAAAAACAUUUUCCAAGCAAUACAAUGAAGGGUAAAUACAAAGGAGUUAUUUAAGGCAAAAUCAAAUAGCACACGAUUUGUAAAAAAAGGAAAAGGAAUCAAUCAAACAAGCAGUAAAAAUCAAAAUUACAGGCUUAACUCGAAUGGACCAAGUCAGGAAUAGGUAAAGAGGAUUCAAUUAGGGAAAAU